rnacentral:lncRNA from 1 species
AGUGCUGGUGCUGUUCCAAGAUCAACCCAUUGAUUAAAUAAUGUAUCAUUGUAUGGUUCCACCCUAUCAAUUCAUUAUAUAUAUGUGUUAAAUAGCAUAUAUAUACAAAAAGUAAAACAAAAUGCAAAGUUAGAGUAUGAAAACUAAAGAUAAAGAUGAUCGAUCAUACCCAAAUCCGUGUUUAGCAUAAUAUGGAAGAUUUGAUAGUGAAGUUUCAUCAAUAUCAAAAACCCAUAUGUCUUUACCAGUUGUUAUAUUAAGAGUCUUUGCAUAGAAAUAACCUUCACGGUUAACUGCUUUAGAGUCAGCUCUAUAUUG